UGACUGUCUGCAUUUGAGUCCUCAUUAUGUCCCGUGACAGCGCCAGAUCACAACAGAAGUCAUUUAAGGUUCCCUUUCCUAUAGAACAGGUCUACACCGUGUUCUGUUAUUAAACAAACUAAACAGUCUUAUGUUAUUUAUCUUAUUUACACGACGGCAUGUCAUUUCUGUCUCUACAUGGUCACGAGCGUACAAUUCUCCUCUGCUCUCUGUAUCGCGCACGGCGGAGUUCCGCCCCUAUGCGCGCUCACACAGACACGUGCGCGCACACACAGGUGAGCACGCUCACACCAGCGGACAGAGAGCGCGCGUCGGAAAAUAUGCUGCGUCAACCACCUGAAAAGCAGACAACAAUAUAUGCGUUUUUUAAACGCUCCCAUGUGGUGAAGAUGCAACACUCGCUCUCCUCCAAGUAGUAGCCGGAGUAGCUCUCCUGCUCCGGGUGCAAGUAGACAAGAGCCAGAGUGCUGCACGCUGCACGGAAAUACUCCCCCUGGCUGUACAAGACUGAUCUUGUUGCCAUACUACCAAAAUACAAGCUCCUCUAAGUGACACUGGUUCUGAGGACUAAAGCUGGAUAUUUGGUGCUGAGGAAGCUGGCACAGCAGAUGUAGCAUGGAGGUCACAGACAGUUCAAGCUAUUGUUGUCAUUCUUCACACAACCAUUUCAUCUUUCUUUAGUAAGACUGAGUGUAACACCAUGCUCUGAGGCAACAUGAAAGAGACUUUGUUCCAGUCUCAAACCUUCAGCUCAAUGUAAAAGCAGCACCUGGUGCACAGCUAGCCUGGCUGGAUGUGUUUGGUUAGUGUUGGUACACAGACAGUCAGCGGUGUGGAUAAUGUCAAUCCCUGCAUAUUAAAUGCUCAUUUGCAAUUUUCUGUAGCAGUCUCGGUAAUAUUUGUCUCCUUCAGUUUACUGAAGUAUAUCACAUGACAUGCUUAAGCUUUGUUUGAGUCACAUAAUUGAGGACUGCUUUAAUUUAACACAUCAUACUAUAUUCAACACAUGGUUCUGGAUUACUCAAUUAAAGUAUCAUUGUCCUAUUUCUGCUUAAAAUCAUUACAUGAUGUAAAAUGUUCACUCACUGUCGGAUGCUCUUGGUCAUACCAACUAGUACUCUUGCUCUGUAGUUAUCUUUGAGAAAUGUUCUUUGUAGGCAGAACAUAUUUAUUUCAAUCUGAAGCCAAACAAAUACUUCCUUUUUCUUUGAGGGUAAAAUGAAGUAUUUAAAUAGUAAAAGGAGUGUCAUGUCCGUUCAUUACUGACUUGGAGUCAGCAAUAGAAUGGUUUUGAAUUUGACUGUAGUGGAAGUAUGUCAAGUAGAGUUGAGAUCCCAGAAGAGCUGCCCUGAGUAAAAGGCACAAAGAUUAGACUAUAAAGAUCACGCCAAAGAACACAGAGCUUAUAUGAGUAGACAUUUAGUUUAACCUUAGAGUUGAUUCAUGCAUGUAUGUUUUGUGAUCUAAUAACCAUAAUGUGAUUGUAAUUAUGUUUCUAUUAACAAGAGGCACUAAAAGACAGAAAAAUGUUGAAUUUGUCCUCAUAUGAGUAACAUGACCUGAAAUGAGGAAAUAAGGAAGUGUAUUCUGUUGAGGCCAUGCAUGAGAUCAUGAGCAGCUGGGUGAGGAGUGUGGGAAAGAGGACGGCUCAACUGGACAGUAAAAAGACAAGACUCGGAUCAUCGAGUUGGGAUUGGGCGUGGGACACCGUUUGGCCCUCAGCUGAGGAAAUGGUCCAGGACAAGCAUCGGAGGACUUUGUCUCUGCUCACAGCUAAGAGGACACCGAUCGUGGGCAGGAAUUGGCUGACGGAGAUUCUCACGUCCCCCCUGCGUAAGCAGGAGAAGAAGGACACUGUUUUCUGUGGCUCUGUAAGGAGUCAAGAUGAUCGCAGAAGGAAUUUCCUCAUCCUGGCAUCAGGAGGCAGGUGUCAUGCAAAGACCUGGCAAGUCAUCUCCUCCUACACCACGAAGGAUGUAUUCUUCAAAAAGGACUUUCACCCAGCCUCGCCUCGGUAACAAAUGAAUGUAAUGAUCAGACUGUAAUGAAAUCAAGUAAAGGAAAUAUUUGAGCUGUU